rnacentral:rRNA from 1 species
CACGGGUGAGUAGCGCGUGGGAACCUGCCCUGUUGUGGGGGAUAACCGAUGGAAACGUCGGCUAAUACCGCAUGAGCCCCUGGGCGACUGGGGGGAAAGAUUUAUCGCGACAGGAGGGGCCCGCGUCGGAUUAGGUAGUUGGUGGGGUAACGGCCUACCAAGCCUGUGAUCCGUAGCUGGUCUGAGAGGAUGAUCAGCCACACUGGGACUGAGACACGGCCCAGACUCCUACGGGAGGCAGCAGUGGGGAAUAUUGGACAAUGGGCGCAAGCCUGAUCCAGCAAUGCCGCGUGAGUGAUGAAGGCCUUAGGGUUGUAAAGCUCUUUCGGCGGGGACGAUGAUGACGGUACCCGCAGAAGAAGCCCCGGCUAACUUCCUGCCAGCAGCCGCGGUAAUACGAAGGGGGCGAGCGUUGUUCGGAUUUACUGGGCG